AAUAGUUCUAUAACAAAACAAUUCGCCAGAGAACUACUAGCAACAGCUUAAAACUCAAAGGACUUGGCGGUGCUUUAUAUCCCUCUAGAGGAGCCUGUUCUAUAAUCGAUAAACCCCGAUAAACCUCACCAUCCCUUGCUAAUACAGUCUAUAUACCGCCAUCUUCAGCAAACAAUUGGAGU
rnacentral:rRNA from 1 species